GCGAUUGCUGACGCGAGGGACAUUACCGAGUUUACAACUCCCAAACCCAAUGUGAACGUUACCAAACUGUUGCCUCGGCGGGGUCACGCCCCGGGUGCGUCGCAGCCCCGGAACCAGGCGCCCGCCGGAGGAACCAACCAAACUCUUUCUGUAGUCCCCUCGCGGACGUAUUUCUUUACAGCUCUGAGCAAAAAUUCAAAAUGAAUCAAAACUUUCAACAACGGAUCUCUUGGUUCUGGCAUCGAUGAAGAACGCAGCGAAAUGCGAUAAGUAAUGUGAAUUGCAGAAUUCAGUGAAUCAUCGAAUCUUUGAACGCACAUUGCGCCCGCCAGUAUUCUGGCGGGCAUGCCUGUCCGAGCGUCAUUUCAACCCUCGAACCCCUCCGGGGGAUCGGCGUUGGGGAUCGGGACCCCUCACACGGGCGCCGGCCCCUAAAUACAGUGGCGGUCUCGCCGCAGCCUCUCCUGCGCAGUAGUUUGCACAACUCGCACCGGGAGCGCGGCGCGUCCACGUCCGUAAAACACCCAACUUUCUGAAAUGUUGACCUCGGAUCAGGUAGGAAUACCCGCUGAACUUAAGCAUAUCAAUAAAGCGGAGGA
rnacentral:rRNA from 1 species